UGCAAGUCGAACGGUAACAUUUCUAGCUUGCUAGAAGAUGACGAGUGGCGGACGGGUGAGUAAUGCUUGGGAACUUGCCUUUGCGAGGGGGAUAACAGUUGGAAACGACUGCUAAUACCGCAUAAUGUCUUCGGACCAAACGGGGCUUAGGCUCCGGCGCAAAGAGAGGCCCAAGUGAGAUUAGCUAGUUGGUAAGGUAACGGCUUACCAAGGCGACGAUCUCUAGCUGUUCUGAGAGGAAGAUCAGCCACACUGGGACUGAGACACGGCCCAGACUCCUACGGGAGGCAGCAGUGGGGAAUAUUGCACAAUGGGGGAAACCCUGAUGCAGCCAUGCCGCGUGUGUGAAGAAGGCCUUCGGGUUGUAAAGCACUUUCAGUUGUGAGGAAAAGUUAGUAGUUAAUACCUGCUAGCCGUGACGUUAACAACAGAAGAAGCACCGGCUAACUCCGUGCCAGCAGCCGCGGUAAUACGGAGGGUGCGAGCGUUAAUCGGAAUUACUGGGCGUAAAGCGCACGCAGGCGGUUUGUUAAGCUAGAUGUGAAAGCCCCGGGCUCAACCUGGGAUGGUCAUUUAGAACUGGCAGACUAGAGUCUUGGAGAGGGGAGUGGAAUUCCAGGUGUAGCGGUGAAAUGCGUAGAUAUCUGGAGGAACAUCAGUGGCGAAGGCGACUCCCUGGCCAAAGACUGACGCUCAUGUGCGAAAGUGUGGGUAGCGAACAGGAUUAGAUACCCUGGUAGUCCACA
rnacentral:rRNA from 1 species